UCUGCCUGCGCGCCACCCGCACUUGCACCCGUUUGCAAGCAAGUUGCCUACCUGUCAUUCUUGAUUCUUCUCAUAAGCCGUUCGUGAGUCGGGAAAAAUUGAUUUUCCUAAAGCCGAUACCUUCUUUAUCUUUUCAUUGUUUUUUGCUUUUUGUUCGACAAACAGUAAAUCAGGCAACAAUGUCUGUGUCAACAAAGAGUGGUGACAAGGAACAGGACGAGAAAAUCUUAAUGCCGUACACAUACAUAUCCCAAGUGCCCGGGAAACAGAUCCGGACGAAGUUGAUAUCCGCAUUCAACUACUGGCUCAAGAUCUCCGAUGAUAAAAUACGCUCUGUUGGGGAGAUUGUGCAGAUGCUCCACAACUCCAGCUUACUCAUCGACGACAUCCAAGACAACUCGAUCCUGCGGCGCGGCAUCCCCGUGGCGCACUCCAUCUACGGAGUCGCCAGCACCAUCAACGCUGCCAACUACGUCAUGAUCGUCGCGCUCGAGAAGACCUUGGAGCUGGGGCAUCCAUUGGCGACGACGGUGUACACGGAGCAGCUGCUGGAACUCCACCGCGGACAGGGCAUGGAGAUCUACUGGCGAGACAACUUCCGCUGCCCCUCCGAGGACGAAUACAAGCAGAUGACCAUCAAGAAAACUGGUGGGUUAUUUAUGCUGGCGAUCCGCCUGAUGCAGCUGUUCAGCGACAACAAGUCAGACUUCAGCAAGCUGUCGGCCAUCCUCGGGCUCUACUUCCAGAUUCGCGACGACUACUGCAACCUUUGUCUACAAGAGUACUCGGAGAACAAGAGCUACUGCGAGGACCUGACGGAGGGCAAGUUCUCGUUCCCCAUAAUCCACGCGAUACGCAACCAGGACGGCGACAACCAAGUACUACACAUCCUGCGGCAACGUACGCGCGACGUGGAGGUGAAGCGGUACUGCAUCUCCUUGCUGGAGCGGCUCGGGAGCUUCCGCUACACGCGGGACACGCUGCACAGCCUCGACCAGGAGGCGAGGGCAGAGGUGGCCAGGUUAGGCGGCAAUCCACACUUCGCGGCACUUCUAGAUGAGCUGCUUAGUUGGCGACGGAACAAAAACCCCAGAGACCUGGAUCCUAACUCUGUAUAGGCAACACUUACCAAGUCUCGACAACUCUCGACAAGUCUUGACAAGUCUCGACAAGUCUUGACAAGUCUCACCAAGUCUCGAAAGUCAGGCGAAUCUGACGUCGGCAUAAUAUGAAGGUACCUUGUAGCAGUUUAGAAAUGGUGCUGAUUCCAGCACACAUCAUCUAAUUUUAUUUUAAGUUAUACCUGUCAUUUUCUUAUCCGCCGAAAAGGAAAGGGACAGAUAAUCGAAAAGCGUACUGUUUAUGGAACACACGUAACUUGUUUCAACAUUUUAUGAUAAUGCGAGAGAAUUAAGUUAACAGCACACGUCAAAUGGGUUGCCUAUUUGAUUCACUCGCGUUAUUCACUCAUUCAUUUUGAAAUUGACACCUGUCAAAUUGUCAUCCGUCUCUUUCAAAGGAAAGAAAAGUCGGCGGAUAAGAAAUGACAGGCUUAACUUAAAAUUAGAAGGUAUCUGCAGGAAUCAGGGGCAAUUUUAUUUUAUCUAUUUAAUUAUAUCACAAUUUUAAAAAUAACGGGCCUAUUUUUUUUCUAGGUUUCGUACAAGUAGAAUCUAUAUCUUUUCUAUGAAUUCCAAGGUUUGGUUUUUUUUUUUGAUGAAAUUGUUAGAUUAAUGGUGCUGCUUUUGGUAGACAAAACUUAAUAUUAUUUUAGUCUGACAGCUCUGAAAGUAUUCUUCACUUACGACGAGUGUAAGACGGAGAUAGUGCAAGUUUUAGGACUGCCAUAUUAAAUUAAAAUUAAGUAAGUGUCUACAGGAAUCAACACCAUAUGGUUGAAAUUGUAUGAGGAGUUUUUAUCAUCAUAUUUGCAGACCUUCGUAUAAUUUCAACAAAUUUCAAUAGGAUAGUUGACUGGUAUUUUUUCUUCUUUUUAUAAAAUCUAGUCGUGUUGCUGAAGAUAAAUCUGAAAUCCGUUUUUCAAUAUAUCAUCUAACGCCGGAGAUAUUAAUGAAGCCGGAACUUGGGAGUUAAAAUGGCGACAUUGAAGCAAUUCAUAUAAGAAAGCAAUAUUGCAAUUUGACAAAUACGCAUAUAAAGGGCGCAAUGCAAACAAAAAAAACAAAAAUGUCAAAUAGCAAUAUUGCUAUUUUUGUUGUUUUUCGAAGUACAGUUGCUUCGAUAUUAAUAGUUAGUCACCCGUGGGAUGUUCCGUCCCGUUCUAACAAAACGGUAUUUUAAUGCAGGUCGUAUGACACUGGUAACAUGUGAAGUCACAAGCUCCUGUUGCCAUUUAUUUCCUUCCCUUAUUUUGGACGGCUGCAACUAAUUCAUUUUGCAACGAAUUUCGAUUCUGUUUUCACAGUUGGCUAUCAAUUUAUGUUUAUUUUGAAAGUUUAGUUAUAAAUGUAUAGUUUUUGAUACUUGUCAACUACCCUAGUAUAGUGCAUGAAAAGUUUAUAUAUUUCGCAGCUAUUCCAAUGAAACAAGGUUCUAAUAAGUUGGCUCGGGUCUGUUUUAUAAAGCUAUCAAUCACAGUAACUUAACACAGCAUCACGCUUAUAUCCCUGAAAGGGUAGGCAGUAAGGUAGGCGCCAGCUAUGUUCGUGUCUCGUGUAACAGGGGGCGAACCUACUGCCAUUAACCGGGCGCAAUUCCUGAAAACCACGUGAUAUCAAUAGACUAUCCAAUCAUGUAUUCAAACUCAUAACGACGGAUUCAGUGGUUUACAGCCCUGUCGGGAUUUGAACCCAUGACACUGGGAUGUAAGUCACACGUUUUCCGAACAGGGCUAGCACAAUAACAAUUGGAUACACCAAAAUGUUCGGUACGUGUGCACCGAUCUUGUGUUUAUUUUUCUGUGGCACUAUUGUAGGUCCACUAAUGCACUACUAUAAUUAAUAUUCAUUAAAAUUGAGGAGCACACAGUUAGUAUAGUUCGUAGCAUAAACAGCAAAAAAAAAUUGCUAUAGUAAAAUAUUACUAAAAUAUUUUGUAGGGUUGCCUACAAUACGCCUUAGUUACGUCACGGGCCCGAUUGUUCGUUACGAGUGACAUUUGUAGAAGCAAAUUAUGACCAAUAGCUUUAUAAAACGACCUCAGCGGCUCAAAGGUACCUUAGUCCAAAGGUACAUUAAUUAAUUAGUUAUAUUUUAGUAGGAAUCUAGGGAUAUGUUAAGAUAAAAUAAUCAGUGAGAUACGUCUAAUUUAUUUUACUUAAAUAUUGGUUGUACUUAUCUCUGCAGUAGGAUAAUUUAUGUAACGGAAAAAAUAUAAGAAAUGCAGUUACGAAUAAAUAAUGUACAAGUUUAGUGUCCGGCGAAUGGUGCCGGUUUAGGCAACCACCAACUUAAUUUGUCAGGAUUCAAACUAUCCCUUUCUUGAACUUAUUGUAAAUUAACGACAGCGCUAGUUUAGAAGCUGUCAAACUAAAAUAAGGUCUGUAUCCGCACGAAUAGGCACCAUUGUCUAGAUUAUCUUAUUAGUUAUUAGGUUGUUUUGUAAUCAAAUUUGAAUUUAUGGUAGACAAUUUUCCUUAAUGAAAAUGUUUCGUACCUAUAUUCUCAAUGAGUAUUAGCCGAUAAUUUGGAGUUUAUUUUACAAACAGUUAUACUGUUCAUAAACAUUCAUAUUUUCUGUUACUAUUCUAAAAUCUAAAAUACCUUAUGCAGACUUACUUGUUUUGACAGUUCUUGAACUAGUGUCGUCCUUCACUUAAAAUACGUGCAAGAGAGAGAUAGGGCUUCUUUUAGUCCUGUCAAAUUAACAUUUAAGUUCCGAAUCGAAACUUUUGGUAUACAAAUUCAGUUAAAAAAAAUGUUUAAUUGAUAAACACUGCCCUGUAAUAUAUUUAGUACUUGGUUUUUGCUGAUGUUAGCGGCAAGGACUUCCUAGUCAGUUUAAUGUAAAAGGCCUUCUACGUUGUUAAAAGUCAUUUGUAAUUUGUUUUUAACCAGUUUUAAGCGUAAUUUAAGAUGUUAACAAUGUUUUGCUAAAGCAGUAUACAAUAUUGAUAUAGCAACAUUACGACUGAUGCCUGUAUAAAUUUAUUUUUAUCAUAAAAUGGUGCUGAUUAUCAUCAUCUAAUUUUAUUUUAAGCUAUACCUGUCAUUUUCUUAUCCGCAGAAAAGGAAAGGGACGGCUAAUCGAGAGACUAAACAUUUAUGAAACACACGUCAAUUUUAGGCAGACUUAAAAAACUUUCCUAAAAUUUUAUAUUUUCCAAUAUAUUACCGACAGAAUUGACAGCACACGUCAAACGGAUUGCAUAUCAACAAGAUGCCUAUUUUAUUCACCCAGGUUAUUCAUUCAUUCAUUCACUCGUUCAUUUUAAAAUUAACAUUUGUCAAUCCGUCCCUUUCCCUUUCGGUGGAUAAGAAAAUGACGGGUAUAUCUUAUAACAAAAUUAAGGGGUGUCUGCAGUAAUCGAGGCCAUUCUUUAUUCAGUUACAUAAAAUGCAGAAUAUUUCGGAGUAUGGUGCAAUUUGUUAUACGAUGUUGCCAUGAAUACAUUUGAAAUCAUUGGCAUGUUUGUAAAGUAUAAUUAUUUCUAUUUAUAAACGCUUCUUAUAAUUUGAGUUGAUCUCGGCAAUAUUUUAGAGUGUAACGAAUAUUAUUUUUCGUGUUAGCUUUUUAUGUAUUUUUAUUGUUUGCUUAAAUAAUGAAUGAAAUAUUUUUGGUAUUAGAGAUAUAAAAUGUUGUUCUUAGUACGCUAAAAAAACGAAAAUCGUUUAAUAAAAAAGUUUGGUGCCAUUUAUGUUUCUUUAUUUACACCAUAUUAUUUUUUAUUUAUGUUUUAAUUUCUAGUGGAAUGAACUUUGUUUUUUAUUGUUCUCUAUUUGAAUAACAAUCACUGCCCUAAGAUAUGGGCUGUGCCCGCUCUAUCAGCGUUUACAUAUAAAAAGUAAUCUUUGAUGAUCCCGAUGUCGAAAAUCGGUGAAACUUAGCGCUUAAACACUUGUUGUCUCUUUCCCACACGCG
rnacentral:misc_RNA from 1 species